GACGAACGCUGGCGGCGUGCUUAACACAUGCAAGUCGAACGGAAAGGCCCUGCUUUUGUGGGGUGCUCGAGUGGCGAACGGGUGAGUAACACGUGAGUAACCUGCCCUUGACUUUGGGAUAACUUCAGGAAACUGGGGCUAAUACCGGAUAGGAGCUCCUGCUGCAUGGUGGGGGUUGGAAAGUUUCGGCGGUUGGGGAUGGACUCGCGGCUUAUCAGCGUGUUGGUGGGGUAGUGGCUUACCAAGGCUUUGACGGGUAGCCGGCCUGGGAGGGUGACCGGCCACAUUGGGACUGAGAUACGGCCCAGACUCCUACGGGAGGCAGCAGUGGGGAAUAUUGCACAAUGGGCGGAAGCCUGAUGCAGCAACGCCGCGUGCGGGAUGACGGCCUUCGGGUUGUAAACCGCUUUCGCCUGUGACGAAGCGUGAGUGACGGUAAUGGGUAAAGAAGCACCGGCUAACUACGUG
rnacentral:rRNA from 1 species